CAAUAGCGUAUAUUUAAGUUGUUGCAGUUAAAAAGCUCGUAGUUGGAUUUCGGAUGGGACUUGCCGGUCCGUCGUUUCGAUGUGCACUGGCCAGUCCUAUCUUGUUGUCGGGGACUAGCUCCUGGGCUUCACUGUCCGGGACUAGGAGCUGACGAGGUUACUUUGAGUAAAUUAGAGUGUUCAAAGCAAGCCUACGCUCUGAAUACAUUAGCAUGGAAUAACACGAUAGGACUCUGGCUUAUCUUGUUGGUCUGUGAGACCAGAGUAAUGAUUAAGAGGGACAGUCGGGGGCAUUCGUAUUUCAUUGUCAGAGGUGAAAUUCUUGGAUUUAUGAAAGACGAACUUCUGCGAAAGCAUUUGUCAAGGAUGUUUUCAUCA
rnacentral:rRNA from 1 species